rnacentral:rRNA from 1 species
UACGGAGGGUGCAAGCGUUGCUCGGAAUUACUGGGCGUAAAGCGCGUGUAGGCGGCCUUGUAUGUCUGAUGUGAAAGCCCCGGGCUCACCCCGGGAAGUGCAUUGGAAACUGCAAGGCUAGAGUCCCGGAGAGGGAGGUGGAAUUCCAGGUGUAGCGGUGAAAUGCGUAGAUAUCUGGAAGAACACCGGUGGCGAAGGCAGCCCCCUGGGUCAAGAUUGACGCUCAUGCACGAAAGCGUGGGGAGCAAACAGG